UACGGAGGGUGCUAGCGUUGUUCGGAAUCACUGGGCGUAAAGGGCGUGUAGGCGGUCUGUUAAGUCUGAUGUGAAAUCCCCUCGCUCAACGAGGGAACUGCGUCGGAUACUGGCAGACUUGAGUACCGGAGAGGAAGGUGGAAUUCCCGGUGUAGCGGUGAAAUGCGUAGAUAUCAGGAGGAACACCUGUGGCGAAAGCGCGUAACUGGACCAUAACUGACGCUGAGGAACGAAAGCCAGGGGAGCAAAAGGG
rnacentral:rRNA from 1 species